rnacentral:lncRNA from 1 species
ACAGCACCGAACAGCUUGGAACAGCAGCACACACACGUACUGGGGACAGAAGAAAUAACAGUGCACAAAGGCACCUUAAGAUGUUUUCCUCCUAUUUGCUUAGCUGGAACCAAUACAAUUUUAAAAUCAAAAAUACUGCCUUCCAGAGAGUAUUCCAAGAAUAGAAACCGAUGUACAGCGAAGAAAAUAGCUGCAUCCAAGCAGGAAGAUCUCCUAAGUGCCAAUUACUUCCUUCUUACAUCGGAUCACCAGCGUCAAUACCACUGACAUCACAUUCUACGUUUUCAUCACAUCAAGGACAAAUGGAUCCAGAUGCAACUCACAGACCAACGCUGCAUAUUAAAUUCUGCUCAUCUUAUUAGCAAUGCCCUCAAAACCAG